rnacentral:rRNA from 1 species
UACGAAGGGGGCUAGCGUUGUUCGGAAUUACUGGGCGUAAAGGGCGCGUAGGCGGCCGAUCAAGUCAGGCGUGAAAUUCCCGGGCUCAACCUGGGGGCUGCGCUUGAUACUGAUUGGCUUGAAUGCGGGAGAGGAUAGUGGAAUUCCCAGUGUAGAGGUGAAAUUCGUAGAUAUUGGGAAGAACACCGGUGGCGAAGGCGGCUAUCUGGCCCGUAAUUGACGCUGAGGCGCGAAAGCGUGGGGAGCAAACAGG